rnacentral:rRNA from 1 species
GUCUGAUGUGAAAGCCCCCGGCUCAACCGGGGAGGGUCAUUGGAAACUGGGAGACUUGAGUGCAGAAGAGAGAAGUGGAAUUCCUUGUGUAGCGGUGAAUUGGGAAGAUAUAUGGAGGAACCACCAGUGGCGACGGCGGCUCUCUGGUCUGUAACUGACGUUGAGGCUGGAAAGCGUGGGGACCAAACAGGUUCAGAUACCUUGGUGGUCCACGCCGUAAACGUUGAGUGUUAAGUGUGGGAGGGUUUCCGCCUUUCAUUGCGGCAGCUAACGCAUUAACCAUUCGGCUUGGGGAGUACGACCGCAAGGUUGAAAUUCAAGGGAAUGGAGGGGGGCCCGCCCAAGCGGUGGAGCAUGUGGUUUAUUUGGAAGCAACGCGAAGACCCUUACCAGGUCUUGACUUCCUUUGACCACUCAAAAAAAAGAGCUUCCCCUUCGGGGGCAAAGUGCCGGGUGGUGCAUGGUGGUGGUCAGCUCGGGUCUUGAGAUGUUGGGUUAAUUCCCGCAACGAGCGCAACCCUUAUUUUUAGUUGCCAUCAUUCAGUUGGCCACUCAACCAAGACGGCCGGUGCCAAACCGGAGGAAGGUGGGGAUGACGUCAAAUCUUCAUCCCCUUUUUGCCCUGGGCUA